UUCCUGCCAGCAGCUAGCACCGUAAGUCUCCAUCUACUUUUCUUUUCUUCCUUCCUAUCUGUCAGUCAUGUCUUCUUUUUCUGUGGUUUGUGCCUUCUUUCUCGCUUGAAUGGUGUGAAUUUGCCGAAAAUCAAAUAAUACCCUGGAAAGGGAAAACCUUAGUUCUGUGUUGUCGUCUUGCAUCAUGUGAUGCAUUGAUUUUUUUUUCUCUUUCUCUUGUGUGUGUGUUCACGACUUUCCAGCAUGUACUGCGGUAUACACCGAGGGCAGUGUCGAGGGCAUAAGCACUCCGCCUCACUCCUAACAGCGCCACCGCGUGGCCAACUGACUAUCUAGGCCACUUUGCCGUUCGACCCAGCAUGACUUGUUCUUGUUUUUACUGCUUGGUGCAAAUAAUCUCCCUGUAAAGAGAGUUCACCUCGGAGCAGGACUCUUCAACAGCCUUUUGAUCCGAAACGCUCACGUCAUCGCCCACGUCGUGGAGAAGGCAGAGCGGCGGUGGGUGAUUAACACAUGCGAUUUCUUUUGUGCGGCCAAGAAAACAAGGCGGAACACACUAACUCAUGACAAAGAAGGCAAUGCCUGAUAUUUAUUCCACGAGCCAUGAAUAAAGUAAUUGAGGGGAUUUUUACUUUUGACAAUCAUCAAUGUCAUGAUCAGAAGCAGGUGUUCAAAAAUCGCAACCUUUCUCUUCACUCUCAUCUAAACCUAUUCCAUCAUUAGAUCGAUUUCCGCCACCAUUUUCCUCAUUCCCCCUUCGGGCUGCGCUCAUUGUUCUCGUACAGUACAUUGAUAUGUACGGUAUGUGGUCAAAUGAUUGUCUGGCUAUCACGCUAAUUGCAAGCAACUAAGGAAGCUUUUCAAAGUGUGUUUGCUGAUCUGUGAUUGAGCGGUUGAAAACAUCAACCCACGUGAGGCGCUUUGCCAGGCCGCUCUGUGAGAUCGAACCGGAGAACCUCUCUCCUGUGGGGCAGAUGUCCUCACCGUUACGCAAACGAGAGUUUGCGCACACAGCUCGAUUGAGGAGUCGCAACCUAAAGCAAACGUGGGACCAACUGUUUGCCCUCUAAAAAAAAAAAAAAACAUCUAUCUAGGUGACCGAGUGAAAUACACCUCUGAUGCCCCAACCGUCUAAAGCAGAUUAUACGGACAACUCAGGUCUCUCCACGGGACAGAUUACCAUCGUUUAAUUUGCUUUGACAAUUUAAUCUCUCCGGAAUAAAUCAGAGUUUAACCGGAACUGCUCGGCACGGUUUUGUAAUCCGUUCUGUGUUUUUCAGAGGUUGACUUGUGGAUGGCUUGCAUAUUUGAUGGCUGCUUCACGAGCGCUGAGGACUUCUCCUGCUGAUGGAUGCCUUUCAAGGGGGUGGGAAGAUUUUUGCCCUUGAACGCGUUUCUCACUAACUGCAUGUUUUGCUUUUCUUGCAAGUAGCUCUUUGUUGAAUUCUCUUCGGAGGACAGUUGACGGCUCAACUCUGACGUUUCGAGGGCAAGUCUGGAAUUCCGCUAGUUCUGAACUAUUCCCGUUCAGUAAAAGUUCACUACUAGCAGAACUCAGAUUUACUCCCGAUGACCAACACGAGUUGAGACUCUUCAGGUUACCAGGCUGAUUUUGGAAUAAUAUCUUCAUUUGCGGGAGCCCGACGGGUACGUCAACAAGUGUAUCGUGCUGUGCGGUGCAAAUUCAUGGAUGAAAAGGGUGAUCGUGAUUUGAGGUGGCUUGCAACAGGUCGGCGCUAUUUCAAAGUCAACGUUCCUGUGAAACGGGCUCAGUCGGAGCCCAAACCAGAUGGCUUGUCGCCGGCACGUGUGCGUUUCUCCCGCUGUUCUCCCGUUAUCGUCUGCGCCAUAGAUAAGAAUUCCUUCUGAGGAUAAUCAACACGGCACCAUCAAGAGGUCUGCUCAUGCCGCAUCUUUCUGCAUAUGAAAUGUGAUUUCAAACAAAAAAAAAGCUGUCUACUUGUUUUAUGGGGGCGGGGUGGGUGCAGUUUACCUCUCGCAUCAAUACACAUGAUAACGUACAGAAUUUUCUGUAUAGCCAGUAAAAUAUCCGCAUGUGUAUCGCCUCUGCAUCGGUGCUCUGACGCAUCCAGACCGGAAGAGGGCACGUUUCAUUCGCUGGCUGAAUGUUUUCACAGGUGAAGCAGGAACGCUAUAGUUGUUUGUUUCAUGUUGAAUAAAAUCCUUUUUACUUCA